GACGAACGCUGGCGGCGUGCUUAACACAUGCAAGUCGAACGGAAAGGCCCUGCUUUUGUGGGGUGCUCGAGUGGCGAACGGGUGAGUAACACGUGGGUAACCUGCCCCUGACUUUGGGAUAACUUCAGGAAACUGGGGCUAAUACCGGAUAGGAGCUCCUGCUGCAUGGUGGGGGUUGGAAAGUUUCGGCGGUUGGGGAUGGACUCGCGGCUUAUCAGCUUGUUGGUGGGGUAGUGGCUUACCAAGGCUUUGACGGGUAGCCGGCCUGAGAGGGUGACCGGCCACAUUGGGACUGAGAUACGGCCCAGACUCCUACGGGAGGCAGCAGUGGGGAAUAUUGCACAAUGGGCGGAAGCCUGAUGCAGCAACGCCGCGUGCGGGAUGACGGCCUUCGGGUUGUAAACCGCUUUCGCCUGUGACGAAGCGUGAGUGACGGUAAUGGGUAAAGAAGCACCGGCUAACUACGUG
rnacentral:rRNA from 1 species